AGAUCUUGGUUCAGGAUGAACGCUAGCGGCAGGCUUAACACAUGCAAGUCGAGGGGCAUCGGGAGUAGCAAUACUUGCCGGCGACCGGCGCAAGGGUGCGUAACGCGUGAGCAACAUGCCCGUAUCAGGGGGAUAAUCCAUGGAAACGUGGUCUAAUACCCCAUAGUAAUUAUGUAAGGCAUCUUAUAUAAUUUAAAGCUUUGGUGGAUACGGAUUGGCUCGCGUGACAUUAGCUAGAUGGUAAGGUAACGGCUUACCAUGGCUACGAUGUCUAGGGGUUCUGAGAGGAAGGUCCCCCCACACUGGAACUGAGACACGGUCCAGACUCCUACGGGAGGCAGCAGUGAGGAAUAUUGGACAAUGGAUGGAAAUCUGAUCCAGCCAUGCCGCGUGCAAGGAAGACGGCCCCAUGGGUUGUAAACUGCUUUUGUGUGGGAGCAAUAAGGGCUACGCGUAGUCCGAUGAGAGUACCAUACGAAUAAGCACCGGCUAACUCCGUGCCAGCCGCUGC
rnacentral:rRNA from 1 species